rnacentral:rRNA from 1 species
UAAAACCUACGGGGGGCAGCAGUGAGGGAUAUUGGUCAAUGGGGGAAACCCUGAACCAGCAACGCCGCGUGAGGGAAGACGGUUUUCGGAUUGUAAACCUCUGUCCUCUGUGAAGAUAAUGACGGUAGCAGAGGAGGAAGCUCCGGCUAACUACGUGCCAGCAGCCGCGGCCAUACGUAGGGAGCAAGCGUUGUCCGGAUUUACUGGGUGUAAAGGGUGCGUAGGCGGCUUU